GUUCUUGUAGUUGAAUACAACAGUGGUUCUUCAAGUCACUAGUCUCAGUUAAAAUCUGGGCAGGAAUU
rnacentral:tRNA from 1 species